CUGACGAGUGGCGGACGGGUGAGUAAUGUCUGGGAAACUGCCUGAUGGAGGGGGAUAACUACUGGAAACGGUAGCUAAUACCGCAUAACGUCGCAAGACCAAAGAGGGGGACCUUCGGGCCUCUUGCCAUCGGAUGUGCCCAGAUGGGAUUAGCUAGUAGGUGGGGUAACGGCUCACCUAGGCGACGAUGCGUAGCCGACCUGAGAGGGUGAUCGGCCACAUUGGGACUGAGACACGGCCCAAACUCCUACGGGAGGCAGCAUG
rnacentral:rRNA from 1 species